rnacentral:rRNA from 1 species
CCCCUAGUAACUGCGAGUGAAGCGGGAAAAGCUCAAAUUUGAAAUCUGGCAGUCUUUUUUUUUCUUCUUUGGCUGUCUGAGUUGUAAUCUAGAGAAGUGCUUACCUGCGCUGGACCAUGUAUAAGUCUCCUGGAAUGGAGCAUCACAGAGGGUGAGAAUCCUGUCUUUGACAUGGACUGCCAGUGUGUUGUGGUGUGCUCUCAAAGAGUCGAGUUGUUUGGGAAUGCAGCUCUAAAUGGGUGGUAAACUCCAUCUAAAGCUAAAUAUUGGCGAGAGACCGAUAGUGAACAAGUACCGUGAGGGAAAGAUGAAAAGGACUUUGGAAAGAGAGUUAAACAGUAUGUGAAAUUGUUGAAAGGGAAACGCUUGAAGUCAGUUAUGUUGGCUAGGGAUCAGCCUAGCAGUUUUUUUGCUGGGUGAAUUUUCUAGUCUGACAGGCCAACAUCAGUUCUGACUGCUAGAAAAGAGCAGAGGGAAUGUGGCACCUUUGGGUGUGUUAUAGCCUUUUGUCAUAUGUGGCAGUUUGGACUGAGGGAUGCAGUGUGCCGUGAGGUUGGGGUCUUUUGACCACAUUCACACUUAGGAUGUUGGCUUUUAAUGGCUUCAAUCGACCCGUCUUGAAACACGGACCAAGGAGUCUAACAUGCCUGCGAGUGUUUGGGUGGUGAAAACCCUUGUGCACAAUGAAAGUGAAAGUUGAGAUCCCUGUCAUGGGGAGCAUCGAUGCCCGGACCUGAGCUUUUAGCGAUGGAUCUGCGGUGGAGCAUGCAUGUUGGGACCCGAAAGAUGGUGAACUAUGCCUGAAUAGGGCAAAGCCAGAGGAAACUCUGGUGGAGGCUCGUAGCGAUUCUGACGUGCAAAUCGAUCGUCGAAUUUGGGUAUAGGGGGCGAAAGACUAAUCGAA